rnacentral:rRNA from 1 species
GACGAACGCUGGCGGCGUGCCUAAUACAUGCAAGUCGAACGCAGUGGGGACGGGUGGGUAACACGUGGGUAACCUCCCAUCAGAGGGGAUAACACUUGGAAAAAGGUGCUAAACCGCUACUGAUGGAUGAACCCGCGGUGCAUUAGCUAGUGGGUGGGGUAACGGCUCACCAAGGCAACGAUGCAUAGCCGAUCUGAGAGGUUGACCAGCCACACUGGGACUGAGACACGGCCCAGACUCCUACGGGAGGCAGCAGUGGGGAAUCUUCGGCAAUGGACGAAAGUCUGACCGAGCAACGCCGCGUGAAUGAAGAAGGUUUUCGGAUCGUAAAGUUCUGUUGGUAGAGAAGCGUUAUCUAACCAGAAAGCCACGGCUAACUACGUGCCAGCAGCCGCGGUAAUUC